GCCGAAUCCGAGGUGACGGGCUGACGGCCCUGCCUAUCCACCUCAUACCGCCUGCCCGCCUGCCGUGUUCAAAAUUCGAACGUCCUCCGCCGCCCCAACGAUACCAUCUUCCCCAGUUCCCCACGCCGGCACACCCAAGCUCGGCCACUCGUCUUGUUGCGACCAAACCCAAAAUCCGAACACCCUCUCGUUCCCCAUCCCCGGCGUCCGGCGCUGACCGCGUGAUCCUCGCCCCGAUGGCGGCCGCCUCCACACCCGCCCGUUCUUCCGCGCACCUUUCGCAGCCGGUGCGCGUCGUGCUGCGUGUGCGCCCGUUCCUGUCGUCGGAGGCCGCCUCAGCGACAGCGCCUUGCGUCUCCCUCCUCGGCUGCCACCCCGGCGGUGGGGUCACCGUCCAGCUCAAGGACCAGCACACAAGUCGGAGUGAACAGUACAAACUGGAUGCGUUCUUCCGUCAAGAGGACAGCGUCAGCCAGAUAUUUGACCAGGAGGUUCGUGCAGUGAUCCCAAGCAUCUUCGAGGGGAUCAACGCGACGGUCUUUGCCUAUGGGGCAACCGGCAGCGGCAAGACCUACACAAUGCAGGGCACAGAGGAUUUUCCAGGGCUAAUCCCCUUGGCAGCUUCGACCAUCCUAGCACUCUGCACUGGCACAUGGUGCUCUGUUGAGAUCUCGUACUAUGAGGUGUACAUGGAGCGGUGCUAUGACCUGCUGGAGCCUAAAGCGAAGGAGAUCAUGGCCUUGGAUGACAAAGAUGGUAACAUGCAGCUGAAAGGCUUAAGCUGGGUCCCUGUGCGAUCCAUGGAGGAAUUCCAGGAGCUCUAUUCCAUAGGCGUGCAGAGGAGAAAAGUUGCCCACACUGGACUGAACGAUGUUUCUAGUCGGAGCCACGCUGUGCUCUCACUCAGGGUCAGCAGCACUGAUGUGGUGAAAGGGAAGCUUAAUCUCAUUGAUUUAGCUGGUAGCGAGGACAACAAAAGGACUUUGAAUGAGGGCAUACGCCUUCAAGAAAGCUCCAAGAUCAACCAGUCAUUGUUUGCGUUGUCCAAUGUCAUUUCAGCUCUAAAUAAGAAUGAGCAUCGGAUACCAUAUAGACAGAGUAAACUGACUCGGUUACUUAGAGAUUCUCUAGGAGGCGGUUGCCGCACUGUGAUGAUAGCUUGCCUGAAUCCUGCAGAAUACCAGGAGUCGGCCAACACAGUAAGUCUGGCGGCUCGUUCAUGCCAUAUUGAGAAUUUCACCAGUUCAAGCAAACAAGAAACUCCCAAACUUAAGAUCGACAUGGAAGCCAAAUUACGAGCAUGGUUGGAAUCAAAGGGGAAAACAAAGAGCAUCCAAAGAAUGGAUGGUCUUUUCUCCCCAAUUGCCAGCAAGACUCCAUUGUCUGUGAGCCAUAUGAAGCAACCAACAUCUUCAAGAAUUCCUUGUAGAGUUAAGGCAAUGGAUCAGGAUGGUGGUAAAAUCAAGAAGAUACUUUUUGAUCCAGUAGUCCAUGUUCCCACUGAAAAUAUACCACGAGAGCACAGGCAGACAGAAGUAAAUACACCAAAGAAAGUGGUGCUUCCUUCAGUUACUCCAUGCAAUGAAAAACAUGAAGCUUCUCUCAGGAAAGCUCUUUCUCCAAUUUCUUCAAACAUGGUGCCUGUAGAGCAGCAAAUACCUGAUAAUGGCAAUUGCCCCGUUUUAUUGGAGCCCCAAACUCCAAUAGAAAAACGUAAUAUAGUCGAGGAGACUCCUGGUGCAACACCACUAGAGAGAUUUAAUGCACUAGGGUCUAACCUAAAGGAAGCUCUAGUUCAGCAGUACCUUGACCUUUUAAAUGUUGCAAACAAGUUGACCUUAUGUCACAAAAAAUAUCCAGUUUUUUCCAGUCUUUAUUUCUAAUGUUUAUCUCCCUUUACCUAUGAGCAGGGAAGAGCUACAGCAGCUGAAAGGAAUUGGCGCGAGGAGAGCAGAAUAUAUUCUGGAAUUACGGGAGGACUCACCAAAACCAUUCAAAACUCUUGAAGAUUUGGGAAACAUCGGCCUCUCGUCAAAGCAGAUCCGAGACAUCCUUAAGAAGACGGCCACUGGGAUCUUCAAAUGAUGACCUCAAUGGAUGAUGAUGUAUUGGCGCUAGACAUUCAUAGGUGUAACAGCUAAAUGACUGGCUUGUGUUGCUGACGGAGAAGUUAGUUCAAUGUUUGUGUUGGUGACUUCAGGCAGUGCCCUGCUGCUACUUUCAACUAGAUUCCCUUGAUUGUGUGUAGAAUUGCAGUUGAAGUGUUGAACAAGUAAACUAUCGGAGUUGUGAUGCUACUUUUACGUCCAGGGGAGUUUUUAUGGAACGAGCUAUUCGAACAUUUUAUAUGAUGAAGUGGAGCAUCAGUUUUGCUCAUUUGAAUAAUGAUAACAAGCAGAGUUUUUAUCA